GUCAAGCCAGGAGCAGAACAUAGAAGUAAGGCAACAGAGAAGCAUUGGGAGGGAACUGAGGAGGGUAGUAACACCGAAACACCAGCAAUUCCAGGCUUCCUGGGGAAGACAGACAAUUUGCCUGAGGCUAAAGCCACUGAACACCAGACAGAUAACAGAAGAGCCAGCCCCCCUCACUCAGAUACAGAUGGCAAACAGCACAGAAGCAAAAAAGCCUCAAAACAACAAGAAAAACAAGAAGGGGGCAACUUUGGACACAUUUUAUGGAGCAAAAAUACAAAAUACAGAGGAGAUAGAAGAGGAAACACAAGCAAAUGCGCCGAAACCUUCCAAAGGAAAUGGAAACUCUCCACAAACUUUUGAAGAAUUUGAAUCAAAAAUGAUCAAAAAGAUGGAAGCCUUCUGGCAGGAAAAGUGGGAAUUAAUGCAAAAGAAUUUCACACAACUACAAAACUGGUUUGACCAAACUGAAAAGGAAAACCAGGCUUUAAAGGUCAGAAUUAGGCAACUGGAAGACAACGAGCAGGUAAAAGAGCAAGAAUCAAUAAAGCAAAGCCAAAAGAUCAAGAAAUUAGAAGAGAACAUAAAAUCUCUCACUGACAAGGUGACAGACUUGGAAAAUAGAGGAAGAAGAGAUAAUUUAAGAAUAAUUAGACUACCAGAAAAUCCAGAAAUAGACAGCAAACUCGACAUCGUAACACAAGAUAUAAUCAAAGAAAAUUGCCCAGAGAUUCUAGAACAAGGGGUCAAUGCAGCCACUGAAAGAGCUCACAGAACACCCUCUACACCAAAAGACAACUCCCCUGAAUGUAAUUGCCAAAUUCCAAAGCUUUCAAGCAAAAGAAAAAAUCCUACCACUCUGAAUGACCGUAAGGCAUGGAACAUGAUUUUCAGAAAGGCAAGAGAGCUGGGUCUUCAACCAAGAAUCAGCUAUCCAGCAAAACUGACUAUAUACUUCCAAGGGAAAGUAUGGGCAUUCAACAAAAUAGAAGAUUUCCAACUUUUUGCAAAGAAAAGACCAGAGCUCUGUGGAAAGUUCGAUAUCGAAAAACAAAGAGCAUGGAAUACCUGAAAAGGUAAAUAUGAUGGAAAGUGAAAAGGAGAAAAUUG
rnacentral:lncRNA from 1 species